AGCGAACGCUGGCGGCAGGCUUAACACAUGCAAGUCGAGCGGGCCCUUCGGGGUCAGCGGCGGACAGGUGAGUAACGCGUGGGAACGUGCCUUCUGGUUCGGAAUAACUCAGGGAAACUUGAGCUAAUACCGGAUACGCCCUUUUGGGGAAAGGUUUACUGCCGGAAGAUCGGCCCGCGUCUGAUUAGCUAGUUGGUGGGGUAACGGCCUACCAAGGCGACGAUCAGUAGCUGGUCUGAGAGGAUGAUCAGCCACACUGGGACUGAGACACGGCCCAGACUCCUACGGAAGGCAGCAGUGGGGAAUAUUGGACAAUGGGCGCAAGCCUGAUCCAGCCAUGCCGCGUGAGUGAUGAAGGCCUUAGGGUUGUAAAGCUCUUUUAUCCGGGACGAUAAUGACGGUACCGGAGGAAUAAGCCCCGGCUAACUUCGUG
rnacentral:rRNA from 1 species